rnacentral:rRNA from 1 species
GCAUAUCAUAGCGGAGGAAAAGAACCAACAGGGAUUGCCUAGUAACGGCGAGUGAAGCGGCAACAGCUCAAAUUUGAAAUCUGGCUCUCGGGCCCGAGUUGUAAUUUGUAGAGGAUGCUUUUGAUGCGGUGCCUUCCGAGUUCCCUGGAACGGGACGCCAUAGAGGGUGAGAGCCCCGUCUGGUUGGAUGCCAAAUCUCUGUAAAGCUCCUUCGACGAGUCGAGUAGUUUGGGAAUGCUGCUCUAAAUGGGAGGUAUAUGUCUUCUAAAGCUAAAUACCGGCCAGAGACCGAUAGCGCACAAGUAGAGUGAUCGAAAGAUGAAAAGCACUUUGAAAAGAGAGUUAAAAAGUACGUGAAAUUGUUGAAAGGGAAGCGUUUAUGACCAGACUUGGGCUUGGUUAAUCAUCUGGGGUUCUCCCCAGUGCACUUUUCCAGUCCAGGCCAGCAUCAGUUUUCGCCGGGGGAUAAAGGCUUCGGGAAUGUGGCUCUCUCCGGGGAGUGUUAUAGCCCGUUGCGUAAUACCCUGGCGGGGACUGAGGUUCGCGCAUCUGCAAGGAUGCUGGCGUAAUGGUCAUCAACGACCCGUCUUGAAACACGGACCAAGGAGUCGUCUUCGUAUGCGAGUGUUCGGGUGUCAAACCCCUACGCGUAAUGAAAGUGAACGCAGGUGAGAGCUUCGGCGCAUCAUCGACCGAUCCUGAUGUUCUCGGAUGGAUUUGAGUAAGAGCAUACGGGGCCGGACCCGAAAGAAGGUGAACUAUGCCUGUGUAGGGUGAAGCCAGAGGAAACUCUGGUGGAGGCUCGCAGCGGUUCUGACGUGCAAAUCGAUCGUCAAACAUGGGCAUGGGGGGCGAAAGACUAAUCGAACCUUCUAGUAGCUGGUUUCCGCCGAAG